GACGAACGCUGGCGGCGUGCUUAACACAUGCAAGUCGAACGGUGAAGGGAUCAGCUUGCUGGUUCUGGAUGAGUGGCGAACGGGUGAGUAACACGUGAGUAACCUGCCCCCUUCUUCUGGAUAACCGCAUGAAAGUGUGGCUAAUACGGGAUAUUCUGCGCCUGCUGCAUGGUGGGUGUGGGAAAGAUAUUGUUUCGGUGGGGGAUGGGCUCGCGGCCUAUCAGCUUGUUGGUGGGGUGAUGGCCUACCAAGGCGGUGACGGGUAGCCGGCCUGAGAGGGUGGACGGUCACACGGGGACUGAGACACGGCCCAGACUCCUACGGGAGGCAGCAGUGGGGAAUAUUGCACAAUGGGCGCAAGCCUGAUGCAGCGACGCCGCGUGAGGGAUGGAGGCCUUCGGGUUGUGAACCUCUUUCGCCAGUGAAGCAGGCCUGUCCCUUGUGGGUGGGUUGACGGUAGCUGGAUAAGAAGCGCCGGCUAACUACGUG
rnacentral:rRNA from 1 species